rfam:Gasterosteus aculeatus cont1.015936, whole genome shotgun sequence.
ACAACGGCUCUUUUAAGAGCCACCUCACCGCCUCUGGAGAACUAUU